UACGGGAGGCAGCAGUAGGGAAUCUUCGGCAAUGGGGGCAACCCUGACCGAGCAACGCCGCGUGAGUGAAGAAGGUUUUCGGAUCGUAAAGCUCUGUUGUAAGUCAAGAACGAGUAUGAGAGUGGAAAGUUCACACUGUGACGGUAACUUACCAGAAAGGGACGGCUAACUACGUGCCAGCAGCCGCGGUAAUACGUAGGUCCCGAGCGUUAUCCGGAUUUAUUGGGCGUAAAGCGAGCGCAGGCGGUUAGAUAAGUCUGAAGUUAAAGGCUGUGGCUUAACCAUAGUACGCUUUGGAAACUGUUUAACUUGAGUGCAGAAGGGGAGAGUGGAAUUCCAUGUGUAGCGGUGAAAUGCGUAGAUAUAUGGAGGAACACCGGUGGCGAAAGCGGCUCUCUGGUCUGUAACUGACGCUGAGGCUCGAAAGCGUGGGGAGCAAACAGGAUUAGAUACCCUGGUAGUCCACGCCGUAAACGAUGAGUGCUAGGUGUUGGGUCCUUUCCGGGACUCAGUGCCGCAGCUAACGCAUUAAGCACUCCGCUGGGGAGUACGAC
rnacentral:rRNA from 1 species